GUUCGAGCGUCAUUACAACCCUCAAGCACUGCUUGGUCUUGGGCUCCGCCGCUAACCCGGCGGGCCUUAAAAUGAGUGGCGGCGCAUCAGGCUCUGAGCGUAGUAAAUUUCCUCGCUACGGAGUCCUGGUGACGGUGGUCAUCAACCCCCAACUUUCUAAGUUUGACCUCGGAUCAGGUAGGGAUACCCGCUGAACUUAA
rnacentral:misc_RNA from 1 species